rnacentral:misc_RNA from 1 species
GAAAUGCGAUAAGUAAUGUGAUUUGCAGAAUUCAGUGAAUCAUCGAAUCUUUGAACGCACAUUGCGCCCAUUAGUAUUCUAGUGGGCAUGCCUGUUCGAGCGUCAUUUCAACCCCUAAGCACAGCUUACUGUUGGGACUCUACGGCCCCCGUAGUUCCCCAAAGCCAUUGGCGGAGUGGCAGUAGUCCUCUGAGCGUAGUAAUUCUUUAUCUCGCUUUUGUUAGGUGCUGCCCCCCCGGCCGUUAAACCCCCAAUUUUUUCUGGUUGACCUCGGAUCAGGUAGGAAUACCCGCUGAACUUAAGC